rnacentral:misc_RNA from 1 species
GGGACACAAAAUAAGGACAGAUUCAUGACCAGAAUUGCAACUCAGCAACAAACAAAAAGAGACAACUACAUUUAUUCUUGGCAGGAGGUGAUGAACACACAGACCCACUCUUAAUAACAAUGCUACCCUAUCACUUGCAACUGCAACCCAAUUGGUCUGUCAUUUGCAUGUUUAAUUGAGCCAAUAAGCUUAAUUUCACUUCAUCAAUGCAUGGCUGCUGCCGGUAUCAUCAACAUCACCUCCAGAAGAGUCCUCAUUGAUAUUCACUUUAUCACUUACGCUCACAGUUUCUUCUUCUUCAUCACUUUGCGCCAAAUCAAUCACUUCUGGGGCUGCUGAUGAUGAUGAUAUUGUGUUCGCAGGAGCAACAACGUUAAGUACCCUGCGCUGACGCUCCACAUGCAUUAUGGGAGCUUGAAUCUGCAGCGGCGAAGCUGCCAAAGCACUCGCUAUGGGUGGGACUUGAAGUGUUAGUGGUGCUGGUGGUGCUGAUUGAGAAGGACGAAUAAAUCGUUGCUGGAUAGUUGCCGAUGAGAUGGGGUUAAUUGGUUGAGACACUCUGAGAAAACUCAGAUAAUUGUUGUCAUACAUAGGAGGUGGUAGAGGAGCAUACAGAUAUGCGGUGGAGUUUGGUGGGAGGACAUUGGGAAGAAUACCUCCUCUUGGACGAUCAAAAGACCCCCUGAUCUGCUCUGCUAGGAAGUGGUUUUCAUAGUGCCUAGCAAAAGCUUCAAUCCCAAAAAUCACAUGGU